UAGGGAAUAUUGGUCAAUGGACGGAAGUCUGAACCAGCCAUUCCGCGUGCAGGAAGAAGGUCCUAUGGACUGUAAACUGCUUUUAGCAGAGAAGAAACGCCUUCAUUUAUGAGGGUCUGACGGUAUCUGCGGAAUAAGCACCGGCUAACUCCGUGCCAGCAGCCGCGGUAAUACGGGGGGUGCAAGCGUUAUCCGGAAUCACUGGGUUUAAAGGGUGCGUAGGCGGGACAUUAAGUCAGUGGUGAAAGUCUGUUGCUUAACGAUAGAAUUGCCGUUGAUACUGAUGUUCUUGAAUUGGGUUGAGGUUAGCGGAAUGUGACAUGUAGCGGUGAAAUGCAUAGAUAUGUCAUGGAACACCAAUUGCGAAGGCAGCUAGCUGGGCCUUGAUUGACGCUGAGGCAC
rnacentral:rRNA from 1 species